rnacentral:rRNA from 1 species
AUAUCAAUAAGCGGAGGAAAAGAAACCAACAGGGAUUGCCCUAGUAACGGCGAGUGAAGCGGCAACAGCUCAAAUUUGAAAUCUGGCUCUUUCAGAGUCCGAGUUGUAAUUUGCAGAGGGCGCUUUGGCUUUGGCAGCGGUCCAAGUUCCUUGGAACAGGACGUCACAGAGGGUGAGAAUCCCGUACGUGGUCGCUAGCUAUUGCCGUGUAAAGCCCCUUCGACGAGUCGAGUUGUUUGGGAAUGCAGCUCUAAAUGGGAGGUAAAUUUCUUCUAAAGCUAAAUAUUGGCCAGAGACCGAUAGCGCACAAGUAGAGUGAUCGAAAGAUGAAAAGCACUUUGGAAAGAGAGUCAAACAGCACGUGAAAUUGUUGAAAGGGAAGCGCUUGCAGCCAGACUUGCUUGCAGUUGCUCAUCCGGGCUUUUGCCCGGUGCACUCUUCUGCAGGCAGGCCAGCAUCAGUUUGGGCGGUGGGAUAAAGGUCUCUGUCACGUUCCUUCCUUCGGGUUGGGCAUAUAGGGGAGACGUCAUACCACCAGCCUGGACUGAGGUCCGCGCAUCUGCUAGGAUGCUGGCGUAAUGGCUGUAAGCGGCCCGUCUUGAAACACGGACCAAGGAGUCUAACAUCUAUGCGAGUGUUUGGGUGUCAAGCCCGAGCGCGUAAUGAAAGUGAACGGAGGUGGGAACCCGCAAGGGUGCACCAUCGACCGAUCCUGAAGUUUACGGAAGGAUUUGAGUAAGAGCAUGGCUGUUGGGACCCGAAAGAUGGUGAACUAUGCUUGAAUAGGGUGAAGCCAGAGGAAACUCUGGUGGAGGCUCGCAGCGGUUCUGACGUGCAAAUCGAUCGUCAAAUUUGGGCAUAGGGGCGAAAGACUAAUCGAACUAUCUAGUAGCUGGUUCCUGCCGAAGUUUCCCCUCAGGAAAA